UACGUAGGGUGCGAGCGUUGUCCGGAAUUAUUGGGCGUAAAGAGCUCGUAGACGGUGUGUCACGUCGAUCGUGAAAACUUACAGCUUAACUGUGAGCGUGCGGUCGAUACGGGCAUCACUGGAGUUCGGCAGGGGAGACUGGAAUUCCUGGUGUAGCGGUGAAAUGCGCAGAUAUCAGGAGGAACACCGGUGGCGAAGGCGGGUCUCUGGGCCGAUACUGACGCUGAGGAGCGAAAGCGUGGGGAGCGAACAGG
rnacentral:rRNA from 1 species